rnacentral:rRNA from 1 species
UACGUAGGGGGCAAGCGUUGUCCGGAUUUAUUGGGCGUAAAGAGCGUGUAGGCGGCCAGGUAGGUCUGCUGUGAAAACUCGAGGCUCAACCUCGAGACGUCGGUUGAAACCAUCUGGCUAGAGUCCGGAAGAGGAGUGUGGAAUUCCCGGUGUAGCGGUGAAAUGCGCAGAUAUCGGGAAGAACACCCGUGGCGAAGGCGGCACUCUGGGACGGUACUGACGCUGAGACGCGAAAGCGUGGGGAGCGAACAGG